AGAAUCAACGCUGGCGGCGUGCCUAACACAUGCAAGUCGAACGAGAAAGCGGGGGCAACUCCGUGAGUAAAGUGGCGUACGGGUGAGUAACACGUAGCUAACCUACCCUCGAGUGAGGAAUAACCUGGGGAAACUCGGGCUAAUACCCCAUAACAUCCGGGUUGCGCGAGCAGUCCGGAGCAAAGGCCCGCAAGGGUCGCUUGAGGAGGGGCGUGCGGCCGAAGUUAGCUAGUUGGUGAGGUAACGGCCACCAAGGCUAUGAUCGGUA
rnacentral:rRNA from 1 species